GCCUUGGUGGCACAAUGGUUAUGCACUCGGCUGUUAACUGAAAGGUUGGUGGUUCGAACCCAUCCAGUGGCU
rnacentral:tRNA from 1 species